UACAGAGGGUGCGAGCGUUAAUCGGAAUUACUGGGCGUAAAGAGUGCGUAGGUGGCCAUGUAAGUCAGGUGUGAAAGACCUUAGCUUAACUAAGGAAUUGCAUUUGAUACCGCAUAGCUAGAGUAUGGUAGAGGAAAGUGGAAUUUCCGGUGUAGCGGUGAAAUGCGUAGAUACCGGCAGGAACACCAGUGGCGAAGGCGACUUUCUGGCCCAAUACUGACGCUGAGGCGCGAAAGCGUGGGGAGCAAACAGG
rnacentral:rRNA from 1 species